GGGGAUGUUUGGGUCAAUUGAUGAAGUUGGAAUAUGAUGAUAAAGUAUUGUAUCAGUGUUAAAUUUACUGAAGUUGAUAACUGUACUAUGGUUAUAUAAGGAAAUCUUUAUUCUUAAGAAAUAUACACUAAAGUAUUUCGGGGUAGAGAGCCAUGAUGUAUGCAACUUUCAGAUCAUUCAG